AGCCAUAUAACACAUGUUAGACUCCUCUUCUUGAUCAUGAUGUUCAUCACUUGAAGAAUCUGAAUCACUCUUUCCCAAGCAAUGUAAGCUCCUUUUUGCUUCUUGCUUUUAUCUUGAGGAAAUCUUCUGUUGGCUUUCUGGUUCACCUAUAGGUCUAAACAAUUUGUUUUGAUGUGUCCUUCUUUUCCACAUUCAUAGCAUUGGACCACACUUGACCUGAAAGCUUUCUUGGCUUUGCUAUGACCUGC
rnacentral:lncRNA from 1 species